rnacentral:misc_RNA from 1 species
UUAGCUGUUUCAAUAAGCUCACCGACAAACAUUUUUGCUAUCCCAGACACCACAAUUGUCAUAGGAAUAGAUAUCUUUGCACUUCCUGUGAUGUUGGUCAGCAACCGCUUCAUGUUGGAUUUCUGAAAUCCAGAUCUCCUAAAAGAUUCAUAUCUACUCAUCUGCUCCUCUGUAAAUUGGGAUAAGAUGGACUGCAUCUUCGCCAGUUUGUCAGGAUCACUACUUGAUGAGAGUUUUCCUAACUGCACAUCCAUGCUUUCUUCCUCUUCCUCCUCAUCUUCCUCUUUGGGUUUGCUAAUUGGACCAGCAGUACUAACAGAGACUGAUGUAGCUUUAGAUGUUGAAGGUUUUUCACGAGAAUCGGUAUUAACAUCGUCACCUUCAUUCAUAUUAACACCAACUGCACCUUGAUCUUGGCCUUCAUUCUCAUCGGUUCCAGCAGGGGAUUCAGGGGGUGAGUCAUCCUGCUCCUCAAAAGUAGCCUCAAAAGGAUCCUUAGAUCGCUUCAUAGAAUUCGCUGGCGAGCCAAAUUCUGUGAUACUGAUCUCUCACCAAAGAUAAUUCCGGCGAGCGUGCCGGCGGCCGGUCUG